AUGGAAGGCCUAUUGCAUUGGAACUUUGCCCCGGGCUUAGCCUUGGUGGAUCAAGUGAGAAGAAAAUUUGGUUCUACGGUGCAUUUCUCCCCCUCUUGCGACCCCAAGGAGUUUUUCCUCGUGGUUACCUUCUCUUCAGCCUCUUACCCACUCACGAAAGAAUCGGUGGGUCUUGCACUUCAAUGUUGCAUUGGGGGUUUUCAUGUUGGAUUCAAAGUGCACAAAAUUAAUCCCUGA
rnacentral:rRNA from 1 species